UAUACCCACUUUGGUGUAGAUUAUGAAGACAUGUAUUGACAAACAUCAUAUGACGUGUCGUGUUAGAAAUAUAAUAAUAAAGAAUUGUGAUUCGUAAACUUAAAGUUACAAUGGUUCUAAGUUCACACCCACUUAUGUGCUAGCUUCCAUUGGUCAACAUUUCCAGCUGAUGGUUUUAAUAGCAACGAUCAAAGUUGGCAAGAAGAAUGGUGUUUUUAUUCGACACGGUGAUGUGAGCAGCGACACCAAAUUGAUUGAUUGAAGCAACGUAAAACAUAGAGCUGAUAAAGAUGAGUUGGUUCGAUACGACGGGCAUAGCUAAUUUGGCGAAAAAUGCACUCAAAGAGGCACAGAAGCAAAUCGAUAAAGCGCUGGAUAUCAAAGAUGAGGAAGAAACGACCAUUGCCAGUGUUUCUAGCGUUGGUGUUGAUACCAGUGGUGGCGAAAAGUUAGUAAAUAACUCAAUGCACUCUGUCGUUUCUAUACACCCUACGGCCGAACGCACGAAUGUGUUGCAGCCUAGCUCCGUUGAUGUAGAUGCGGAUGGAAGCGAAGGCCCAUCGCUAGAACAAUCAACUGCGAAAACUAGCAAUGCCAUUAAAACCCCAUCAAAUCGGCGACACGUGAGUGUUAAAGCUGCUGAGAAAAGAAAUGAUUCCACCUCUUCGACAACAGAAGCAGACAGCUCGUCAGCUGCUGUCCCAAUCAUCACUUCACCUAGUCAACCAUCUCCUUUGGCAAGUAAUGUGCAGGACGGCAAAGGAACAGAAUCGGUCGAACUAAUCGAUACGACACGAGCGUCAACAAGUUCUAACACGGAAUCGCCAGUUAUUGUGGAUCAUAGUACACGUUUCGAUGCGCACCAAGGGCAACAGUACACCGCCGUAAAAGAGCAUCCUGACAGGAACGAGGAAUACGUCAGCGUUGAGAGUGAUACUGUUUCGUACAUAUUGGCCGAACAACCAAAUACUGUCCAGGAAACGUGUGUAAACUCGCCUCCCAUUACCGUUGCACCUGGCCGUAGUUCCUAUCGGUUUUCUAUUCCCAAUGAUCCGUCGAUGAACGUCGUUGGUGUUACUAGUCCAGCCAUAGAAACAUUAAGCGAAAAGUGCGAAGAGUCGCAAUCCAAAGAAGGUUUCGACAAGGAUCCGAACAAUCGAGCCGGUGAUCCAGUACAGCAAGUCGCAAAAGAAUUGUCCGAUGCGUUGCCAUCACAACGAUUUUUAACCUCGAAGCAAGAACUGGAAAACAGCUAUGAGAAUCUCGAAUUUCAAGCACAACUAACUGACCUUACCCACAGCUUUGAGGACCUAAAGUCUUGCGGCAGUGCUGCUGGUAGCCAUUUCCCGAGCACUGCUUCGAGCGAACAGUUUGAAACAACGGACAAACUUUCGGAUGCCGCUUUUGAGACACUCGGUGGUCUAGGGGCGGGGCAGAAUUUGUUUCAGAGUUUAGGCGAGGAUGAAAUUGAGACGACGACGUCUUCCGAUAUAGAAAUUAUUUCCAGCCCAAAUGGAGGCGAUUCCAGCAGCACUAACAGUGGCAUCUAUCGCACAAGUCCGCUCAAAAUGUCCACUUCUAAGGGUGAAAAUUUUGAUAUGAUGCUAAUCAAAAGGCGUCGCGGGCACACGCGAGAACCGUCGGAAAUUUCGAUCAACAGCGGCAACAGUGACGAUUCUAGCCAUCUGCCCGAAACCGAACAGCUGAUGCGACGGCUGGAAGAGGUAUCAGAAACGCUGGAGCAACGGGAAUACCGGCUGGUAGAACUUGGGCGACAGAAUGCGGAGCUGAACGAACAAAACGCACAGCUGACUGCGCAGCUUGAGAGCAAAGCUAAACGGGAGGGUGGAUCUGAUCUGGACGGGUACAUGCAACGGCUAUCUGCCCUGGAGCGUAAGUUUCAGCAGUCUAUUCGGGAAAAGGAAAAUCUGAAGAGUAAAUUCGAUGCACUGCGAAUGGAAGCGGACAAAAAGGUUGCCAAGUGCGAUAUGGAUAAAGCAGUGAGCGAAAGAGAUUUUAUGAUCAACGAGCUGCAAAAGGAGGGGGAAAGCCUAUCCAAGCAAGUGUUGCAGCAUUCUAAUAUUAUUAAAAAAUUACGUGCAAAGGAAAAGGAAUCUAGCGUACUGAUUAGCAAGCAAUGUGAUGAAAUAAGCGAGCUGACGCAAGAGACCGAACGACUCAAACGAUCGUUAUCGGCAAAGGAAGAAGUAGAGCGUUCGCAAAUUGAUGCUGUGCACAAGCUGACGUCUGAAAAGGGCAAGCUGGAACGCGAACGCGCGAUGCUAGAUGAUAAAUUAAAUGAUCAAAUACAAAAGAGUGAAGCGAUGCGCAAGUCCUUGGAGUUUGUGCGCAACGAACUGAACGAAAAAUCAGAGCUGUGCCACGAUUUACAGAAGCGGUUGGACAAGCUACAAAACUGCAAAACUGACUCCCAAACGUUUCAGAAAACCAAUGAAGUGCUCAUGCUACAGCUGGAAGAUCUGCGUGAGCAACUGCGCAGAACCGAACAAGACUACGGGCAACGACUGAAUCGGGCGAAAAAUGAACAUGCGGAGGUGUUACGCAAACUGGAAGCUGCCGAACUGCGCACUGAGGAAGAAAAAAAUGCUUCUGCCCUGCUCACAAUGCCGCUGAUGAAGCAGCUUGAUUCAUUGCAAAACUUACUGCGGCAUAAAGAACGUUUGGGCGAACAACGGGAUGCUUCAUUCGCCCAGCAGCUGUCCGAAGCUUUAGAGCGUAUCAAAUUAAUUUCCGAUAAAGAGAAAACACAGCGAGAUAUUAUUAUCACCAUGCAAAAUCGCAUCACUAAUUUGGAGGAACGACUGCAAGCUGCGCUGCUUCAAACUAAAGAAGCUGUAGCCAGAUUAAAACAGCAGGCUCAUGAGGCCGAACGACGUCUUGAAGAUUGCAACAAGCAUGAGGGUAAAGGAGAGAGCUUGGAAAAGGAAGCAGCACCUGCUAUCGAACAUGCUCACGAAAACGAAACACAGCCAGAUGGUGCUGAUAAAAUACUCCCUGCAAAGCAAACAGCCACAAUAGAAGCCAACGAGAGUGAUCCGAAUAUUGAUAGCUCUAUGCCACAGUUUGGAAUGGAUAUGCAUCCUGUAGAAGCCUCUUCUAUUACUAGUAUUGGAAAUAUAUCUCUUCCGGAUUCGUUAAAUAGCAUUCCAUGGACUACUCCCGAGGAUGAUGCAGUUUCCCUAGGAAAGGUUGAGCCUUUCAACGAUGGAAUAGUGGAUGUGGGAUAUAAUUUACCUAAUUUGUUCAACACAACAUCACAUCUUGAAACCUUGCAAGCUACACUUAAGCAACGUGAUGGCGAGAUCUGUCAGCUUCAAUGGGAAGUCUCUCGGUUUCAGCAGGAACGUAAUGUGCUUAGUGCGGAAAUAUCAAAUCUUACCAUCGAACUAGAUAACGUUCGGGAGCGUUUUGAAUGCAGUAUUCGAUUAGAGGAGGAACACACAGAAUUGCAGAACCGCUAUGAUGCUCUUUUGCAAAUGUAUGGCGAGGCGGUGGAAAAAACCGAAGAAUUGCAGCUGGAUUUAGCGGACGUGAAGGACAUGUACAAAAUACAAAUUGAUGAUCUGCUUCAACGUCAGCGUGAGCUUAUUGCAUCUAUGAGCCAUCAGUCAUCACUACUUUCAUCCUCUAGAAAUAAUUGUUGAACUAUUUUUGAAUUGUUAAUAAUAUAUGAGCUAUUUUAAUCGCGGUCGAUUGAUAACAACAAUCACAACUGUUAGAUAAUUAACAGCAAUGGCAUCUGAAGCGAGACUAAAAGUUUGUAAAUUGUAUAGCUUGUAUAGUCAGGGUUUGCCUUCUACCGAGUUAGUUUGCCUGUUAGUAGCGAACCAAUUUCCAAGUGAUUAGUUAGUAACCGCAAUUCGCAGAAUUUCUGCAAAUUGCAAGACGUACGCUGUUCGUAGAUUACACUUACUCAUACUUUUCACUGUUCCUGUUUUUAUCCAUCAACCUGUUACUGUGAUUUGUCUCUUUUUCCAGACGUCCAAAGAAUGUUUCACUAAAUCCCUGAACAUGUGUGAUUAAUUCAGUAUCAGACUAAAUAUUUCGAUUAGCUCAGCAUAUCUUUCCUUUGUGGUAGUGAUUUCCGUAACUGAAUACCAUUUUACCCUUUUUCCACUCAUCUGUUAAAAUCCCAGUUUCAGCAACUGUUACUUUCCUGAUGUUCUUGUUUGGAUAAUGCAUCCAAAUAAAAGAUUGUUGUAAUGAGUGAAACAACGAUAUACAUUUACUCUUCCUUCCAUAUAAUUUAAAUUUCACUCUAAAAAGCUGAGGUGACCUGGGCUUCUUAGUAACAUAUCUGACACCUUCUUUCUUCUUCUUUGGUACAACAACCCAAGCGCCACAGAUUAAACUUAAACGACUGGAAAAUCAAAUAUCGAUAGGGAAAAAAAAGAAAGCUCCAUAGCUUCACUGGUUUGCUCAAUAGGUGGCGUAUUAUAACUCAUCAUUAUGUUGCUGUUUUUUCCUUGCAAUGUGUAAGCUUCAUUUAAUCAUGGCCUAUAUAGCCUUCUAACUUUCCGUGGGUAUCAACACCAUCGACCAUUAUUCAAAUUUCACUUCAUUCCGGUCUGAUAAUAUAAAUUAGAGUUUAGUAUUUAAGCAAUCGUUCUAGUUCUAGCGAUGCAUAACUUCAAUACGAAACCAUACAACAGGAAAGAGGGAAUGAGAAAGCUCACAAAGCAAAGAAAGCUCCGUGUAGCUAUCCCAUCAGCAGAUGGCGUCACCAACUUUUUGCUAUUUUUAUAAUGCAUCAGUCGUUCACUGUCUGCUAAACGAAGGCUUUUUAGAAUCCGUUUCGGUUGAAAGCUUGAGCCGUUUAGGAGCCUUUAGUAGACGUUUAGUGGAAUUGUGGCACUUGUGAAAAUCGCAUGUGGCGAUUCUCAGAUCAUUUCCUAACUCGAGGGGGUCGUAACUCAGGGGACGCUUUUAUUUAAAAUUAACUACCAAACCAUUACUAACUCGCAAAUGAAAGAUUGAGAAUGCGAUACAGAUAUAUCGGAGAAAAGAGGUGCGCAAGCUAACCCAUGGCCGCAGGUAAACGUUCCAUGAGAAAAAGAGAGAAUGUUUCCACUAAUCUUCUUUUUCCCCCGGCUCUUAAACAUUUACUAUUAAUACAGGCUGACAUACUCUUCCUGUAAAAUGAGUGAUCCAAUUAACAAUUUGCUUGCAACGACCAGGCCGAUUUAUCAUUUUAAUCACAUUUAAAAAUUGAAUCGAAAUGGCUCUUAGAUAUCAAACUACCUGUAACGAACUUUUGCCUACUUGUCAAAUCGUUCUAGAUUACGAGACCUCGUGCCUGCACAGUCCUUGGGCGAUCCAAAAGGCCGCCGUGUAGCUUCCCGUGGCUAGUUGGGAGGGCAACAAGAUCGUACGGAAGGUUUUUGUUUGUUGGGUACGCAUCGCAUCUUUCUAUUCUAAAUUAACAUGCUUUCUCUUUUUACUCAACGUAACACCAAGCUCGGCAGAGCAGGAUACCAUGUUGAUUUUCUGGCUUGGGUUUGUAUUAGGUUUUAGGUUAGGUCUUUCAACCUGGUUUUUCAUUCCAAUAAUCCGUUGAAUUCGAUUAACCGGCCACGGUUUGGUCGCUGGUUUCGAGCCGUACGAAUUUACGGUUUUAUUUAUCGCGUUUAGCUCGGCGCCAUCUUUGGCAAUUGCUAAUGUCAAACCUGCUGUAUAAUUUUCAAUACACCCGCGAGUUCAAUUUCACCAAGGUAUUUCCGACAAAUGUCAAUUUGUUCUCCCCGACUCUACCAUCCGUCUGCAUAUACCUUGCCUAGUUUCCCGAAUAAUCGGCGAACUGCAUUGCCUUUUUGUAACGCAGUGUGCAAACCGGGCCACUUUUCUGUAAGGCUUUGACGUUUAGCUAGUUUCUUCUCGCCUCGCACAAGCGUAUGCCUGAAAAUCGUUUAUGAAAACACACCAAUUACAUUGUUAAAGUUUCUCCCAUGCGAGCCGGAAACGCCGGGAUCGAAUAAGUUCCGGCAUGCGCCUAUCGCUGCAUGGAUUAUCGGCUACAGUCAGCUCUGUUACGCUGAAUUUUUAGCAUCGCUUCGGCAUCGCCGUAGUGCGAAAGUAUAAUUAGAGCGGCUGCAUAAAGCUAGAACUAUUCCGGUGCUCAUCAUUUCUACAAAGCUACGUGUGCUGUGCAUGCUGGAUGCGCCACUGAAGUGUUUGGCUAAAUCUUCGUCUCCUACCACACAUUGACGUCGUCGCGCCCCGUUCGGAAUCGGAAACAGCGCAAAAAGCAGCCGAACACGACGGGUGUGUAUGUGUGUGUGUGUGUGUGUGUGUGAGCGAGUGUUUGAUUGCUCGUCACCGCCGAGGGCGCAACCGAUGUGUUUACGGACAGUUUAUGUCAAACUUUUUGGUUAAUGUGUACUGCAGCAGCGUGCGUGUCUGAUUAACACACACAAAACAC